GGCUUUGUUUUAUUUUGUUUUGUUUAAUUUCGUUUUUAUGUAUUUUUUUUUAUAUUGGUGCUUUGUCUGCAUGUAUAUCUACACACCAGAAAAGGGCAUCAAAUCCUAUUAUAGAGUAUUCUGAAUGCUAGAAAUUUUAACUCAAGAGAUCUGGAAGAGCAGCUUUUGGCCUUAACCCCUUGAAUUUCUUUUCUCCGACUGUUGUGGUCUGCCUAAUGUGGGUGCCAGGAACCAAAUGUGGUCCUCUGUAAAAGCAGCAAGCGCUCUUAGUACCUGAGCCAUCUCUCCAACUCCUAGAAAGAAGUCGGCUUUGGACUGGGAGGAGAGCUCACCGGGGGAAAGCACUUGCCAUUCAGGAGUAAAAUCCUAAGUUCAAUUCCUGAACCCGCAGUGGAAGAAAAGAACCAAGCCCCUAAAAGUUGUCCUCAAACCUACACACACACACACACACACCCCUCAGCUCAUCCUGCUGCCUUAGGACAGGAGCGUGCCUGCUUUCUUACAACCUCAUUGGCCCUGGUUUUUCCAUUUUGGAAUCCUUAUUGUCCUGAGAGUCUAGGUAUCUAAAUUUGUUGAGACACAGUGUACUAAGGUGAACUUGUCAGACAGAACAAAGCUGAGGUCUGGGACCACCUGUUAAGGACUGAGGGCACCUGUUGGAGCUGACCCUCCUUGUAUCUUGUCACCAAGGGUCUCAUUUGUCUUCUGUAUUAUAGGAUCCAGAUAUAUCAGCCAAGCCGCUGCCAAAGUUGACAUUGAAUUUGAUUAUGAUGGACCACUCAUGAAGACGGAAGUCCCGGGGCCUAGAUCUAAGGUGAGCCAACCUCUCAGAAACAAAGACCCAGGAGGCAGGUGCACAGGCUGCUUAAGAGGCAUUUUCAGAGCCUCUUCUAGAGACGGGCAUGAAAUAAGCCCGGCCAUUGUGAAGGCUUCAAAGGUGUUUCAUGUCUGCUGUCAUGAGGACAUUGCCUAACAGCAGGCCACAGACUGGGACAUGUGGCAGCCAGAUUGUGCAUGCAUUUAGGGCUAACCAGCAGUUAGGUCGGUGGCCCAGUUGGAGCCAUCUGCAGGCCUAAGGCGUGGCUGGCUGUCACCUGGUGUACUUUAUAUCUGAAAUGGUUUGCCUCUGCUCCAUGGCUGAUCAUCCUCCAACUUGUCACACUGGGCUUAUUCUGAUUUCACUCUAAGUCUAUUCAGACUGAAGCUCCAUACUGCCUUUUGAAUGCCCCCACCUUUUCUAUUGGCCAAAGCAAGUUGCAUGGACAGCUGUCCAGAAUACCAGAAGUCACAGCAUAGGGCCUGGGCAUCAAAGACUUCUGACUGACUUUGAUCUUGAAGGAGAAAGAGAAAUGUGACAUAAGAAAGGUGGUCUGUACAAGUGAUAACGGGACAGAAUGGGGGACAAACUUGGGGACGGAGAGAAAGGAGCCAGAGGCAGGCAGAGGACGUGGGGGCAGGGAGUGAGGGAGAGAGACAGUGAAAGCAAAGGUGCCACAAUGAAUUCAUUACUUUGUAUUCUAACCCAAUAGAAAAAGCAAUAAUAAGAUAUGAUCUUCAAGCCUGACUUGAGCAAGCCUGGCAUGAAGCUGUUCACAGCAGGCUUAGUGGCUCACACCUGUAAUUCCAGCACUUGGGAGGAGAAAGCAGACAAAGCAGGAAUUCAGGGCCUUCCUCUGCUAUGUAAGGAGUUCAGGGCCAGCCUGGGACACCUCGGGGACUGCUUCCCUAAGACAGAUAGGAGAAGCUGUCUUCUGUGCAAGAGACAUGGUAUAAACCUUUCAGUGCUUCAGGGAUUUUUUCUCUAAUAUUUAACAGAUUUUAUCCACAGUGGGAUGCUGUCUUAUUUACUGUAAAAAGAUCAUGCCUUUUGCCACAGUUGUGGGAACAGGGAUUGGGAAAUGGGGGGAAGAGUGGAGACAAACCCACGGAGAUGCCUGGGAUUCAGGCUCUAGAGACCAGAGUCAGAGUGCAGAUUUAACUUCAUUGUUUAUUAUAUAAGCUUACAUACAGCUUUUUAGCCAAUUAGGGUAUGUUUAUGUAUUCAAGGGCAAAUGGGGUACAACCUGUGUUGUAGCCAAAUCUGACUAGCCUGUCCUUGAACCUGUGGGGGAGAGGCCAAUUCCCAGGGGCACUUCUAUGAAGACAGGGGAAGCAGCCACCGACUUGGGUCCUUUGUGUUGUCUGGUAUGCUGGGAGCUAUGUCAGAUCACACACUGUGUACAGUGCAUGGGGAUCCUUCAAGGAAUGGGAGGAGCUUGUGGUGCUCCGCUCUCCCACCCACUUCCUCCUCCGCCAAGUUUACCUCCACAUCUGCCCCACACACAUAGCACCUGCUUUAUGAGUUCAAAAAUAUUCGUCUUAUUGUGUUUAUCUUUCUGUUGGAUGGUUUUCGUCAAACAGAAGGAGAGUGCUUUCUCAUGCAUAUUUCUGUUGGGGUGGAUUCUAAUUUAAUGGAGAAAUGCUUAGAAUAACUUUUCAUAUUUUUAUUGUUAAUAUUAUUUUAUAUUUUUUGUGUGGAAAUGUGUAAUGUCAAAAUGCUGACUGCUGAAGACUUCUUUAUGCAGAAUUAUUUUGGAGGCUGAAAUCCUGUUACUAUCAAGCUUUCUAUUCCCAGUUUCUGUUUGAAACUGGGGAAAGUGAAUUUUAAUCAGAAGUGGGUCUUUGUUGAGAAAAUUAAUAUUGUCAGUUGAUCUUACCCCCAGCUACUGAUAAGGAAGUUGCAUCUUUUCUUUUUGUUCUCCCCAAGUGCUAGAGGUCAAACUUUGAAACUCGGGGCUUCAUGCACACUUAGCAAAUGCUUUACCACUGAGCUUUGAAUUAAUAAUUUGAUGUGGCUGUAAGUCUACAUACCAUGUAUGUGUCGUGUCCGUGGUGAAUGGCAGCCGUGAUCCCAGCCCUUGAAACUGGAGUUGCAGACACUUCUGAGCUGCCACAUAGAUUCUGGGAAUUGAACCUGGUUCAGUGCUCUUAACCUCUGAGUUAUCUUCCCAGCCUGACUAAGCUAUUUUAAAAUGAGAAUAGGGGAUGGCAAGGUGGCUGUGCAGUUAAGAGCUCUGGCUGCUCUUCCAGAGGUCCUGAGUUCAAUUCUCAGCAACUACAUGGUAGCCCACAGCUGUCUGUAAGAGGGUCUGAUGCUGUCUCCUGGCCUGUGGCUGUGCAUGCAUCAGAGAAUUCAUACAUUAAAUAAAGUUUGAACAUAUUAUAAUAUAAGUUAUAUGUGUAAAUAAUAUAAUUAUGUAACGUCUCUAUGUGUAUAUGUGUAUUUAUGAGAACAUGAGUUGGCACAUGGCUGACAGAGGUACCUGCCACAAAGCCCGAUGCCCUGGGAUUAAAUCUCAGGAAUCCAUAGGGUGGAAGGAAAGAGCUAACUCCUGCAAAUUGUCUUCUGACCUUAGCAUGUGUAGUGUGGUGGCUAUAUACCCACCCACAAACAAAAUAAAAUAAAUAAAAAUGUAAAAUAAACCUAGAGCUAGCGAUGUAGCUCAAUGUAGAGCGCUUGCCCAGAAUAAGCAAGACCGUGAGCUCUAACUGCAGCACC
rnacentral:lncRNA from 1 species